rnacentral:rRNA from 1 species
GAACUGAAGAGUUUGAUCAUGGCUCAGAUUGAACGCUGGCGGCAGGCCUAACACAUGCAAGUCGAGCGGAUGAUGGGAGCUUGCUCCUGGGUUCAGCGGCGGACGGGUGAGUAAUGCCUAGGAAUCUGCCUGGUAGUGGGGGACAACGUUUCGAAAGGAACGCUAAUACCGCAUACGUCCUACGGGA